CAUAAGACCCCAAAUCAAGGAUAUUAGGUAUUAUGCUUGGAAUCAUAACAUUCCAAAUCAAGGAUACUUAAGCAGUGGAUAUCAAGUAGAUAUCAUGAACAAUGAAGCAUAUCGAGUAUUAUAAUUGGAAUUGUAGCACCUCAGAUCAAGGAUAUCAAGCAUUAUGCUUGGAAACGUAGCACUACAAAUAAAGAUCUAAUUAAGCAAUAUUAAGGAUAUCAUCUAUUAUGCUUGGAAC
rnacentral:lncRNA from 1 species